AUGAGUUUAGAUGGUAGAGUUAGACAAAGCCUUCGCAGAGUUUAGUCUUGUGAUUUAUGGAGCAUAAUACCCUUGGGCGCUACAUAUGAUCUCAUAGGAAUGAGUCUUUGAUGCACAAAAGCCAAGUUCACUUGAAUUGUGUUUACCGAAAUUGUGCACUCGAUACGUACAUUUCCAUUGGAAUAAUUAAAUAGGGUUCUCUAGUUCUGGGAACGACAAUUGAUUGUAAGUUGUAUGACGAAUGAGAUGAAUCACUUUAAGAUUCUAAUUUAUUCGACACUUGUGAUGAAACUGUGUUAAUGGAGUUCGAGGGUAAUUUAUAUCAAUUAUUUUUUUGAUGACAAAUGUUUUUCAGGUUGUCGGAAGUAAUUUGAAUGAAAAGUCUUAGGUUACUUGGUUUUUUGUGUCAAAAAAGGAAUGAAAUAUUGUUUAUUUGGAGCUUUUUUAACCAAUUUGGUAACACUAGAAGGAUAUUGUCUAAAAAAGUCUUACAACUAAAUUUUCAAGCCAUUGCAUUUAUUCAUCUUACAUUUUCCAUUGCUAGGAAAAAAACUCAAUUAACCCCAAAAUAAAUCGGAUUCUGUCUGAAGUUAAAGGGAGCCGUGUAAUUAUGUGCCACUAAGGACGGCAACGAAGCAAAUGGGGCCAGGCACAUAAGGAGUAAGACAAAAAGGAAGCCACAGAGACGGACAAACAUGGAGACCCGAAAGGCAGUGACACACACAAAAUAUAUAUAUAUAAAAAAAAAGAAGAAUAAAAACCAGCAGGGGAUGGGAAUACCAACAGAA